rnacentral:rRNA from 1 species
CGCGUAUAGAAUCUGCCUUGCACUGGGGAAUAGCCCAGAGAAAUUUGGAUUAACGCCCCAUGGUAUGUACUUGUGGCAUCACAUGUACAUUAAAGGCUACGGUGCAAGAUGACUAUGCGUCCCAUUAGUUAGUUGGCAGGGUAACGGCCUACCAAGACGGCGAUGGGUAGGGGCCCUGAGAGGGGGAUCCCCCACACUGGUACUGAGACACGGACCAGACUCCUACGGGAGGCAGCAGUGAGGAAUAUUGGACAAUGGGCGGGAGCCUGAUCCAGCCAUGCCGCGUGCAGGAAGACGGUCCUAUGGAUUGUAAACUGCUUUUGUACGGGAAGAACAUGGGGCACGCGUGCCCCUCUGACGGUACCGUAAGAAUAAGGAUCGGCUAACUCCGUGCCAGCAGCCGCGGUAAUACGGAGGAUCCGAGCGUUAUCCGGAAUCAUUGGGUUUAAAGGGUCCGUAGGCGGGCCAUUAAGUCAGGGGUGAAAGUCUGCGGCUCAACCGUAGAAUUGCCCUUGAUACUGGUGGCCUUGAGUUAUGGUGAAGUAACUAGAAUAUGUAGUGUAGCGGUGAAAUGCAUAGAUAUUACAUAGAAUACCGAUUGCGAAGGCAGGUUACUAACCAUAUACUGACGCUGAUGGACGAAAGCGUGGGUAGCGAACAGGAUUAGAUACCCUGGUAGUCCACGCCGUAAACGAUGGAUACUAGCUGUCCGGAUGCAAAUCUGGGCGGCCAAGCGAAAGUGAUAAGUAUCCCACCUGGGGGAGUACGUCCGCAAGGAUGAAACUC